UCCCUGGUGGCUUAGUGGUUAAGGAUCUGGCGUUGUCACUGCUGUGGCUCAGGUUCGAUUCCUGCCCAGGAAC
rnacentral:tRNA from 1 species